rnacentral:rRNA from 1 species
UCGGGAAUAUUGGGCAAUGGAGGAAACUCUGACCCAGCAACGCCGCGUGGAGGAUGAAGGUCUUCGGAUUGUAAACUUCUGAUCUAAGGGAAGAAAAAAAUGACGGUACCUUAGGAGAAAGCCCCGGCUAACUACGUGCCAGCAGCCGCGGUGAUACGUAGGGGGCAAGCGUUGUCCGGAAUGACUGGGCGUAAAGGGUGUGUAGGCGGUUUAUUAAGUUGGAUGUGCAAUCCUGGGGCUCAACCCCAGAACUGCAUCCAAAACUGGUAGACUUGAGUGUGGGAGAGGCAAGUGGAAUUCCUAGUGUAGCGGUGGAAUGCGUAGAUAUUAGGAGGAACAUCAGAGGCGAAGGCGACUUGCUGGAACAUAACUGACGCUGAGGCACGAAAGCGUGGGGAGCAAACAGG